rnacentral:rRNA from 1 species
AGAACGAACGCUGGCGGCAGGCUUAACACAUGCAAGUCGAGCGCCCAGCAAUGGGAGCGGCGGACGGGUGCGUAACACGUGGGAACAUGCCUUUCGGUACGGAACAACUGCGGGAAACUGCAGCUAAUGCCGUAUACGCCCUUACGGGGAAAGAUUUAUCGCCGAAAGAUUGGCCCGCGUCUGAUUAGCUAGUUGGUGAGGUAACGGCUCACCAAGGCUUCGAUCAGUAGCUGGUUUGAGAGAACGACCAGCCACACUGGGACUGAGACACGGCCCAGACUCCUACGGGAGGCAGCAGUGGGGAAUCUUGAACAAUGGGCGAAAGCCUGAUCCAGCCAUGCCGCGUGAGUGAUGAAGGCCUUCGGGUUGUAAAACUCUUUUACCUGGGAAGAUAAUGACUGUACCAGGAGAAUAAGCCCCGGCUAACUUCGUGCCAGCAGCCGC